UAAAUAAAUAAAAUUUCAUCUUCAUUAGGAUAAUAAAGUUUCAUCUUGGAUAGCAAUGUAGGAAAAAAUGUUAUUCAGAUCCUACUCAUGGUUCCACUGCUUUAAACAAAUUAGUGUUUCUCUUUCCCAGAUUCCUAAGAUGUAAAGGUUCAAAUAUUCACUGAGCUAUCUGGCAGGUACAUUUUGAGGAGUAAUUAGAAUUUCUUUUGUGCUUACUAUCAUGCAUUAGAAAUAUAAAACCAUAAUGGAAUACCCAUUUAACAAUUUGCCAUGCAAAAAUUCUAUGUUAAGAACGUACCAUCACACUGUUAUAAAAGCAACCUCUUUUUUUUUUUCCUUUAAUAGUGCUUAAAACCUGAUCUGUAAUAUAGCACAUAAGCAUAACGCUAGGCUGGAACUGCCAGAAAUAAAUGCCAGCACUUUCAGAAAUAUUUAUAAAACCUAUUCAUACAAAUCUGGGCUUGAAUUGCACACAUUUGUAAAACCACUUAUUUAGAGGUGGGAGGAAUCUCACUGGGUAUCUGUAACUGAAAAAUCUUAUUUUCAACUAAAACUGAGAAAAGUUUUACCGAUGGGAUGGUACCCGAAGCUAAUAACAUAAGUUGUUCCAGCUGCUGUGAACAUUUCUGGAAGAAUUCUUAGGUAAUGGACUAGAUCCUAAACCAAAUGAAAUUAACUUCAGUUAACUGAAUUUACAGCUAAAUGACCUUGAAAGGCUGCUCAAGUUCUUACUUUCUAGUAUCUAUGCAAUGUCAUUGAUUACUAAUUAAUUUUUUCAGUGCUUUGGUGUUCUGGAAGAGACUUCAUCUAUCCAUAAAUGGCUACCAAUUAAUUUCAUUUUAUUCCUGUUUCAUUUUCCAGCUUUCAUAAUAGUGAAUCUAUUUGGACAGAAAAUUAGUGUUUGGAUGGUUUCCAGAGUGACAAUUAUGAAAAAUAGGUGAAUGAAAAUCCUCCAAUGUACACCAACUGGUCUCCAGUUGAAGUAGUGCAUGGAAACGGUACUUUAAAAAAGUCAGAAAAAUUUUGGGUUUGUCUGCCAAAAGUCUCAGGGAAAGGUUUACUUUUGCUUUGACUCUGUUCUCUUUUCUUACUAUAUUGAAUUCAUUUUACAUUAUUUUCAUCUAGGAGCAGCUUAUUAUAGGUAUGUCUAAAAGCAGGAACAUAAAAGAUUUCGAAGAUUAAUAUUCAGACAGACUACAUCAACGCUGUUUAAUAAAUUAAUCGCUGUGAUGUAGAAUUGAUUUAAAAAAAGAAGUUACUAAGUUUUCUUUCUAACUUUGAGCUUUCUAUUGCAUAACUUAGAAUCAGGUAUAGAGAUGAAAUUUCACGUUUUCUGUCAUGGCAGCAGAUUAACUGCAUGAAAUUAAAAAAAGCAAAACUGAGGCUCUUCUAGACUUCCCUGAUCCUCCUGUGACAAAGUAACUGCAGUUGUCAAAGGCAGUGUAUUAGACCCUGCCUGCCACAGUACUUGCAAGUAGCACCAUGGUAAGAAGCCCCUGGAAAGCCCUUGCUGGAAACCAAAACCAAGCUUGCACGGUGCUGAUAAAAUGCAGACUUAUCAGCAGCUUUGGGCUGUAUGGCUUCACUGGAUUUGGAACUUCAUCCCAGAGCUUGAUGCUUCCAGGUUCAUUCAGGAGCAUGCAGAGAUCCCAGCAGGAUUCGAAACCAAACCAACACUCAGAGAAAGACAUUCCCUGCUGUCAACAGGCAAGAUGCAGACUGAAUGUGUCCACACUUUCACAAGGUUUUUUUUUUUUCUCAAAUUUGUUUCUAGUAUUUGAGUAGGCCUUGUCUAAUCUGAGUUUGAAUAUACAGCAGGACAGAGCCAGAGCCAGUACUACAGUAGCUGGCACUGUUACAUUUGGGUAAAAAAUAGAGGUUGGUUUUAGAAAAAAGAUUUGUAAUACCUAUUAUUAUCUCUGGAAGUUACCUACCAUGUUUCUAUGCAGUAGAAGUACCAGAACAGUCUCUAAAAUGCUAUAAUAACAUCUAGCCUAUUUAUUAUGAAAGAUGACACUUUCAAAGAGUCAAGCGUAAGGAUCCCUAGCAAUAAUAAACUCUUCAAACGCAAUGAAAAACUCAAAACUUUGGAACUUGUGCCGAAGAGUCAUACAGAGAAUGUUAAAGGAUGUAAGAAAUAGAUAAAAAUUCAACUGAGAGAGCGUGUGAUUUCAUCUUAAGUUUACUCUACAGUCCAACAGCUUCAUAAUGUGCUAAAGGUUAGGCUGUGGCUGACGAAAUGGGAAAUCUAAAGCAACAGCAGAGAAAUGCCAUUUUCCUUUGGU